GAUGAACGCUAGCUACAGGCUUAACACAUGCAAGUCGAGGGGUAACGAGAGGAAAGCUUGCUUUCCUUGUCGACGACCGGCGCACGGGUGAGUAACGCGUAUCCAACCUGCCCCCAACUAGGGAAUAACCUUGCGAAAGUAAGACUAAUACCCUAUAAUUUCCUCAGAUGACAUCUGACGAGGAAUAAAGAUUUAUCGGUUGUGGAUGGGGAUGCGUCUGAUUAGCUUGUUGGCGGGGUAACGGCCAACCAAGGCAACGAUCAGGAGGGGUUCUAGGAGGGAGGUCCCCCACAUUGGAGCUGAGACACGGUCCAAACGCCUACGGGAGGCAGCAGUGGGGAAUAGUGGUCAAUGGGCGGAAGCCUGAACCAGCCAAGUGGCGUGCAGGAUGACGGCCCUAUGGGUUGUAAACUGCUUUUAUACAGGAAUAAAGUUAGCCACGUGUGGUUAUUUGUAGGUACUGUAUGAAUAAGGACCGGCUAAUUCCGUGCCAGCAGCCGCCGUAA
rnacentral:rRNA from 1 species